rnacentral:lncRNA from 1 species
GCUGACAAUAGCAAACGUUUUUAACCAUGUAGGCUCUCCUUAUCCUCAAUUAUCUCUAUGAUAGCCCACUAAGGAAGAUUAAUCUCGCAGAUGUGGCUUCAAAGACCAUUUGAUCAUUUAAGCUACUUUGCAAGUGACUAAUGAUCUCUAUAUAUCCUUUGAGAGAAGAUUGAUUAAUUACCCAAAUAAACAAACCUCAUCAAUCAACAACAAUAUGCUGUGAGUCACAGCUCGAAAGAAAAUGAGGACAUGAGGAACACGCAUAGAAGUGUUCCCGUAGCGCAAGUCAACCACAUUAUUUGAUUCCAGAAGGCCAGCUUGUCCCAAGACAAACUCAACACGCAAUAUGGCCCACAUAAACCGCUAUGAGCUGGAAGUGUGGACUCCU